rnacentral:rRNA from 1 species
AUGCUCUCGAAGACUCCGGAUUCGGUGGUUUGGCCUCAUACCGCCUCGGGCCGUUUCUCGGUUAAGUCCUUGUAUUCUAAACUUAUUGGUGGUGCCCCUACUAAUAGAUUUUCUAGCAUUUGGCGUUCUCGUGUGCCUUCGAAAAUCAAAAUCUUCCUCUGGCAGGCCUUUAGAGGCCGUCUUCCCGCGGCUGACCAAAUCCGUAAGAGGAAUGGACCAGGCUCGGAAUUUUGUGCUCUCUGUGGUGACUUGGAGGACACGAAUCAUAUUUUCUUCCAUUGUGUGCUUGCUAAACUAGUUUGGAGCCGUGUCAGAUCCUGGCUUCAGGUCACUUGGGAUCCCUCCUCCUUUAAUGAGCUCAGAGGCCUUGCCAAUUCGUUGGCUGGUGUGACAAAGAGGAUCUUCUGGGUUGGUCUGGGUGCCAUGUGCUGGUCGUUAUGGACCAUUAGGAACAAAUUUACGAUCGAACAUGCUUAUCCUACUAAACCAGCUGAUUGUUUAUUUAAAUCAUGUAUCUUCUUGCAGCAGUGGAGAUUAUUGACUAAGGUGGAGGACCGGGAUGCUCUUGAUCUGCUCAUAUCUAAAGUUCGGACCUCGGCGUCGUCUCUUUCUGGGCAGGAUCCUGAUGUCGUCUGA